rnacentral:rRNA from 1 species
CCUCGCGAGAGCAAGCGGACCUCAUAAAGUGCGUCGUAGUCCGGAUUGGAGUCUGCAACUCGACUCCAUGAAGUCGGAAUCGCUAGUAAUCGUGGAUCAGAAUGCCACGGUGAAUACGUUCCCGGGCCUUGUACACACCGCCCGUCACACCAUGGGAGUGGGUUGCAAAAGAAGUAGGUAGCUUAACCUUCGGGAGGGCGCUUACCACUUUGUGAUUCAUGACUGGGGUGAAGUCGUAACAAGGUAACCGUAGGGGAACCUGCGGUUGGAUCAC